rnacentral:rRNA from 1 species
GACGAACGCUGGCGGCGUGCUUAACACAUGCAAGUCGAACGGAAAGGCCCUGCUUUUGUGGGGUGCUCGAGUGGCGAACGGGUGAGUAACACGUGAGUAACAUGCCCUUGACUUUGGGAUAACUUCAGGAAACUGGGGCUAAUACCGGAUAGGAGCUCUUGCUGCAUGGUGGGGGUUGGAAAGUUUCGGCGGUUGGGGAUGGACUCGCGGGUUAUCAGCUUGUUGGUGGGGUAGUGGCUUACCAAGGCUUUGAAGGGUAGCCGGCCUGAGAGGGUGACCGGCCACAUUGGGACUGAGAUACGGCCCAGACUCCUACGGUAGGCAGCAGUGGGGAAUAUUGCACAAUGGGCGGAAGCCUGAUGCAGCAACGCCGCGUGCGGGAUGACGGCCUUCGGGUUGUAAACCGCUUUCGCCUGUGACGAAGCGUGAGUGACGGUAAUGGGUAAAGAAGCACCGGCUAACUACGUG